rnacentral:misc_RNA from 1 species
CUUUCAUUCUUUUUUGACCGAAUGUACUAUAGGAAUGUUAUCCAUGAACAGCUAUUUGUUUAGCAUAAUUUUGAAACAUUUUCUUGAAUAUAUUUUAUUAUGAGUUGAGGAAGAAAUGCAGAAAGUGAUCCUUAUGACUACUUUAAGUUGUGUUUAUGGAUAGAAACAGUUGUGAAGAAACAUCAGUUGGAAGUCACAAAAGAGAUGGAAGACAUUAAGACAACAGAUUCCUUGAUGGAGAGCCCUCUAAUGUUGUGGCUAAAAGUUCUUCUUGGUGAAAAGAAAAAAGAAUUAGAUUAUGAAGAUUUGUGCAAUGGAGUUCUUCUCUUAUCUGUAUGGCAGCAAAUUGACUCUCAUGCUAGCGUGGGAGAGAACACUGCAGCUUCAAGUGAGACGAGCAUUCGUUUACAGAACCUAAACAGCUUGUUAAGUAAUAUUAAAGUUUUCUAUGAGGAAGUGCUAGGGCAGGUAGUUCUUUUGCCACUUCCAGACAUUCUUGCUAUAGCCAGGUGUACCAGUGAAGAGUCAAGUGUCAAAGCAAUGAAUAGACUUCUUCUAUUGGUUUUGGGCUGUGCUGUUCAGUGUGAAAGGAAAGAACAUUUUAUUGAAAUAAUUAAAACAUUGGAUAUUGAUGCUCAGCAUCAAAUGGUUGAAUAUAUAAAGCAAGUUACAGACAAUCCAGAGGCAAUCUGGUCAACUGGAUGGAAUCUAACAAAGGAUUCUACUCAUGAAGAACAGCUGUAUCUAUUACUGGAACAGCAUGUACAGAAAUUGGCCAAAGAGAGAGAUGAAUUAUCUCAAAAAUUAGUGAAUGUAGUCAUGGAACAAGAGUCACAGUUAAGUGAUCCUAUCAACUCUAUAGCUAGUGUGACCAACCAAACACCCUUGUUGAGUUCGGAGAAGUCUCAGUUGGUUGUAGAGUUGGCUGAUGCUAGGUCAAGAAUGAGAAAACUUCAACAAGAUUUGGAAGAAAAAACUGAAUCUGUUACAGAACUUAAAGAAGAACUACAGGAUUCUAAAGAUAUGUUAAAUAAAUUGAAACAAGAGAACUUCCAGCUGAUUCAGAAUACACGAGCAGCCCAAGCUUAUAGAGAUCAAAUUGACAUUCUGAAAGAAAAGGUUCAAAAGGUUGAUCGGCUAGAAAAUGAAGUCCAGAAGUAUAAAGAUAAAAUGGCUGAAUUAGAAUUCUACAAAACAAGGGUUGAGGAACUUAGAGAGAAUAACAGAAUUCUUAUGGAUACUAAGACUAUGUUAGAAAACCAAUUAGAAUCAAGUAGAAAAAGAGCAGAACAAGUUUUGGAGUUGGAAGCAGAAGUUUUAAAGUAUCGUUCUCGGAUCUAUGAGCUUUGUGAAGACCAGGAAUCAGAUCGAGAAAAAAUCCAACAGCUGGAGGAAGAAAAUACCAUGUUGUAUUUAGACAAGAAAUUGGCACUUGAUGAAGUUAGUCAGAUGCAUGCUGUCUUGAAAGGCCAAAAUAUGGAACAGUCACCAGUGUUUGAAAAUAGUCUUCACGAACAACUGAAUAAUGAUGCAGAGUCCAGGGUUCUUCAGCUGGAACUAGAAAACCAACAGCUUCAGAAUCUACUGGACGAUGUUCAGUCUUCCUCUCACUCUUCCGUAUCCCAAGAGGAGAAUCAUGUACAAGAAAUUGCGAAUGAAAAGGAGCAGCUUCAAGGAGAAUUACAGCAGUUAAAAGUAACUAUUGGGGAAUUGCAGAGAUCAAAGACAAAAUUUGAUGAGACAGAAGCUGAGAAGCAAGAGGCAUGCAGGAAUAUAAAGAAGCUUCAGCAUGAUCUCUUAGAGUUACAGAAAGAACAUCAACAAUGUGAAGAAAUGAAAAUUUCAAUGACAGCCCAAAGUUCUGAAAAUCAACGAUUACAUCGACAACUGGAAGUCCAGAAGCAUAAAAUACAGGAAGUACAGGAAGAUAUAGAGAAUGUAGAAGCAGAAAAUCAACAUUUGAAACAAAUGGUUGACAAUCUUCGGGCAAAUACACACAAAGUACAAGAACUGGAAAGAGAGGCAACCAACCUGGAAGGAGACAACCAUAAGCUAGAGCAGAAAAAAAAGAGUCUGGAGAAAGAAGUUGCACGAUUGAAGCAUUCCAUUGAGAUCAAAGAUGAACAGGUUGAUGAAUAUGCCUCAAAAGUGUCAUCUUUAGAACGUGAAAAAAGACAGCUACAAAAGGAAGUAGAAAAUUGGUCUCAGACAAUGGCUCGUGUUCGAGAAUUAGAAAGGGACAACAAGGAUUUGUCUCAUCAGGCAGCAAUUCAUCGAAACACCCUGAACACCUUAAGAGAAAUUUUUUUUCAGGACCUGGUAAGUGAAAAACUUAAGAGUCAGCAGAUAGCAAGUGGUUUAGAGAGACAGUUGAACUACCAACAGAAUGAAGAUGUAGACGCUGCUUGUUCAUGGUCUAGUCAUGAAAAGAAAAAAGAUCCCAUGACACCAAAUUCUUUGGCUCAGGAGAUAGCAGACUUAAAAUUCAGUAUGUCGGACCUUGAGCAGAAGAAUACAAGUCUGACAGAAGAGAACCUAAAUCUUCGUAGUGAAGGAAGUUCUCUAAAAGAAAACAAUUACAGCCUUCAUUCCAAAGUUUCAUGUCUUGAACAGCAGGUUAGCUCAUACAGUAAACAAUAUUCCAGUCUGCAGUCUAAACAUGCACACUUAGAAGUGGAACAUGCCCUUCUGGAGUCCCAGAAAGAAGCCUUGACCACACAGGUGACAAAUCUGCAGGGUCAGCUUCAUAAGCUUGAGGAGGAGAAAGAUAAGCUAUUACUAGAUACGAAAGAACUGCAAUCAGUCCAUGAGACCGUGUGUUCUAACAACGAAACUUUACAGAAACUUCAUGACCAGCUCACUGCAGAAUAUGAAAAACUCUCCAACAAUCACAGUAUUCUCAAGGCUAGUCACAAAAGUCUUAAGUCUGAAUACAUUGCUCUUAAAGGUAAGUUGCAAGAAGAAUCCUUCUCUCAAGAAAUGUUGAAAUUGAGAGAAAUGCUGGAAGGGGAGAAAGAUGAGGCUAGUGGUAGAAGUUUCACAAACUUACAGUCUCGGUAUUCAGAACUAAAGGAGCAGUUUCGAACCCUGAAAGAGAAUAAUGAUCAGCUUUUGGUUAAUCAUGCCUACUUGGAAACUAAGCACAAAGCAAUAAAAACUGAAAACAAUGAACUAAAAUUGAAGAACACAGCUUUAAAAGGAGAGGUGGGGGAGUGUCGAGAUGAAAUUGCAACAUUAGACGUGCAGGUGGCAAAACUUGUUAGUUAUUGUGAGAUGCUGUCACAUGUUAACAAUACAAUUGAAAAUGAUCGGCAGUCCGUGAUGACCAGUGCAUCUGUUCUUCUGUCUGAUUAUCAUAAUUACCUGUCUUCAUUGGCCUAUGAUGAUAUUAGAUCAUUGUCAACUGAUACUAACAUAUGCCAGAAGUUGUGGGAAUUGGGCCAAGAAAAGAAACAAGUGGAAAGAGCAAUGACAGGAGUACAUCAGGAACUAGAGAAAUUAGCUAAGAAAGCACACAAAGUGGUAACUUCUGCUCCACAAAUGAGAAGAGCAAGGGUCGAUCUAGCUUUGAUAGAUCUAAAACCAGGAGUUUUAAUGUUGAGAGGCUUCUUGGAGGAAAAGAUAUAUUGAAUGGUCAUCUGGAAAACAAUGCAUCUUCAGUUGCUGGUGAUAACUCUUCUCAAAGUAUUAAACACAAUAUGGAUGUUAGCACUGAUGAUGAUAUUCCUGUCCGAGAUGUUGGUCCAGGAGCCAAGUCUCCCUUGGUUGUU